rnacentral:rRNA from 1 species
UACAGAGGGGGCAAGCGUUGUUCGGAAUUACUGGGCGGAAAGGGCGCGUAGGCGGCCCGCUAAGUCGAACGUGAAAUCCCCGAGCUCAACUCGGGAACUGCGUCCGAUACUGGCGGGCUUGAAUCCGGGAGAGGGAUGCGGAAUUCCAGGUGUAGCGGUGAAAUGCGUAGAUAUCUGGAGGAACACCGGUGGCGAAGGCGGCAUCCUGGACCGGCAUUGACGCUGAGGCGCGAAAGCUAGGGGAGCAAACGGG